GGUUAAGCGACUAAGCGUACACGGUGGAUGCCCUGGCAGUCAGAGGCGAUGAAGGACGUGCUAAUCUGCGAUAAGCGUCGGUAAGGUGAUAUGAACCGUUAUAACCGGCGAUUUCCGAAUGGGGAAACCCAGUGUGUUUCGACACACUAUCAUUAACUGAAUCCAUAGGUUAAUGAGGCGAACCGGGGGAACUGAAACAUCUAAGUACCCCGAGGAAAAGAAAUCAACCGAGAUUCCCCCAGUAGCGGCGAGCGAACGGGGAGCAGCCCAGAGCCUGAAUCAGUGUGUGUGUUAGUGGAAGCGUCUGGAAAGGCGCGCGAUACAGGGUGACAGCCCCGUACACAAAAAUGCACAUAUUGUGAGCUCGAUGAGUAGGGCGGGACACGUGGUAUCCUGUCUGAAUAUGGGGGGACCAUCCUCCAAGGCUAAAUACUCCUGACUGACCGAUAGUGAACCAGUACCGUGAGGGAAAGGCGAAAAGAACCCCGGCGAGGGGAGUGAAAAAGAACCUGAAACCGUGUACGUACAAGCAGUGGGAGCACGCUUAGGCGUGUGACUGCGUACCUUUUGUAUAAUGGGUCAGCGACUUAUAUUCUGUAGCAAGGUUAACCGAAUAGGGGAGCCGAAGGGAAACCGAGUCUUAACUGGGCGUUAAGUUGCAGGGUAUAGACCCGAAACCCGGUGAUCUAGCCAUGGGCAGGUUGAAGGUUGGGUAACACUAACUGGAGGACCGAACCGACUAAUGUUGAAAAAUUAGCGGAUGACUUGUGGCUGGGGGUGAAAGGCCAAUCAAACCGGGAGAUAGCUGGUUCUCCCCGAAAGCUAUUUAGGUAGCGCCUCGUGAAUUCAUCUCCGGGGGUAGAGCACUGUUUCGGCAAGGGGGUCAUCCCGACUUACCAACCCGAUGCAAACUGCGAAUACCGGAGAAUGUUAUCACGGGAGACACACGGCGGGUGCUAACGUCCGUCGUGAAGAGGGAAACAACCCAGACCGCCAGCUAAGGUCCCAAAGUCAUGGUUAAGUGGGAAACGAUGUGGGAAGGCCCAGACAGCCAGGAUGUUGGCUUAGAAGCAGCCAUCAUUUAAAGAAAGCGUAAUAGCUCACUGGUCGAGUCGGCCUGCGCGGAAGAUGUAACGGGGCUAAACCAUGCACCGAAGCUGCGGCAGCGACGCUUAUGCGUUGUUGGGUAGGGGAGCGUUCUGUAAGCCUGCGAAGGUGUGCUGUGAGGCAUGCUGGAGGUAUCAGAAGUGCGAAUGCUGACAUAAGUAACGAUAAAGCGGGUGAAAAGCCCGCUCGCCGGAAGACCAAGGGUUCCUGUCCAACGUUAAUCGGGGCAGGGUGAGUCGACCCCUAAGGCGAGGCCGAAAGGCGUAGUCGAUGGGAAACAGGUUAAUAUUCCUGUACUUGGUGUUACUGCGAAGGGGGGACGGAGAAGGCUAUGUUGGCCGGGCGACGGUUGUCCCGGUUUAAGCGUGUAGGCUGGUUUUCCAGGCAAAUCCGGAAAAUCAAGGCUGAGGCGUGAUGACGAGGCACUACGGUGCUGAAGCAACAAAUGCCCUGCUUCCAGGAAAAGCCUCUAAGCAUCAGGUAACAUCAAAUCGUACCCCAAACCGACACAGGUGGUCAGGUAGAGAAUACCAAGGCGCUUGAGAGAACUCGGGUGAAGGAACUAGGCAAAAUGGUGCCGUAACUUCGGGAGAAGGCACGCUGAUAUGUAGGUGAAGUCCCU
rnacentral:rRNA from 1 species